CUCCAUGUGUAGCGGUGGAAUGCGUAGAUAUAUGGAAGAACACCAGUGGCGAAGGCGGCUCUCUGGUCUGCAACUGACGCUGAGGCUCGAAAGCAUGGGUAGCGAACAGGAUUAGAUACCCUGGUAGUCCAUGCCGUAAACGAUGAGUGCUAAGUGUUGGGAGGUUUCCGCCUCUCAGUGCUGCAGCUAACGCAUUAAGCACUCCGCCUGGGGAGUACGACCGCAAGGUUGAAACUCAAAGGAAUUGACGGGGGCCCGCACAAGCGGUGGAGCAUGUGGUUUAAUUCGAAGCAACGCGAAGAACCUUACCGGGUCUUGACAUCCAGUGCAAACCUAAGAGAUUAGGUGUUCCCUUCGGGGACGCUGAGAC
rnacentral:rRNA from 1 species